CUGGCCGCGUCGGGGCAAUGACGCGGCGACCUCCCUGUUGGACCUGGCCGGGCGCAAGCCCGGCCGUUUUU
rnacentral:ncRNA from 1 species